rnacentral:misc_RNA from 1 species
CGCACAUUGCGCCCCCUGGCAUUCCGGGGGGCAUGCCCGUUCGAGCGUCAUAUAACAAAUCUCACGCCUGGCGUGGUGAUGGGCCCUGUGGACUAGCAGGCCUCAAAUUUCGGUGGCUUAUCAAUUAGUAAACGGGGAGUCCCGUAGCAUGGUGCCGCAAAUAUCGACAAAUAUAUGCAGCGCGUAGCUUGUACACCCUGCCACUUUAACUAGCAUCGGGAAACCGAACACACAAGUUUGACCUCGGAUCGGGUAGGAAUACCCGCUGAACUUAA